UUUAGAAGCUGGCCAUCCCACUUUUCAUUCCUCUUCAAGAAACUGCUAUACUGUUGCUUCAGUGAAAUAUAGGAUGAAGAUGCUCCCUGUGAUCCUUUUGACUUGUGAUGGAGUCCCUGUUCAAGGCGUAUGCUGGCAGUGAUGGUUCCUCUGACACACUGAGUUCCACAGACUGGACACAUCAGAGCUCAGUAACUUUGUCAAGGAAAGGCCUAUUGCUGGCGACCCUGCUGCCAUUGACCAGCUUAUGAGCUCAUUGGACAAGAACAAUGAUGGAGAGCUCAGCUCCCUGAAGUUCUGGCAGCUGAUUGGGCAUCUUGCAAGCAAACACGG